AGUGUCGGGGAGUCCUACACUCUUCUGACUGAGCCAGCCAGGCACCCCAACAAAGGAUUUGCCCCAAAAUACGGACUGAAUACCUCAUUGUGUUAGGCACUCGCUGGGUAUUGGCAAAGUCAAGGACCUACCCUCAAGCACCCCAGAGCCAGAUACCAGAUGACCAGAGUGGAGCCAGAGCCCACUGAAAUUACCUCAACCAUCCCAUCCUGCCUUGUGUGCCUACACACACUGUUUCGUCCGUUCCUUCCAGCAAAAACCACAAUAAAGGCCCUGGCCCGUGCUUUCCCCUCCUACCUGACCCUGGUGGCUCCGAGUGAGGGCUGAGCAGCGGUGUGCCCCUCCUCUCGGGAACUAGAGAGACUGAACAUGAGAGGGGGAGGGGCAGAGAGAGA